UAGGAUGCAUUCAACUAUUGACCACUUCUUAACUCCAUUACAUUAUCUUCACAUUUUUGUUUCAAUCUCAACAAGAAUAUAUAGCUGACUUUCUCCUGGAUCUGAUGUAAUUGGUUAUUAGCAUUUUUGUUCUCUCUUGCAUGUGCUUUUUCUUUUACUGAUGUUUAAUCUUCACUGCCAUUGUAUUUGUCAUGAGUUUCUCUCAUCUUGUGUAAAAACACUAACUAAAGUCUUAAAGUACACAAAACUAUAUUUAAGACUGCUAUUACCAAUGUGAUUGUUUUUCUGUAGGUUAAAUUACUGGGUUUUUAAAGCAAUUAACUUGACCUGAAUCUUCAGCCUCAAAAGCUGUAUGUGUGCUAUUAAUAUGUCCAUCAUCUUAUUCCAGGAUAGAAGGUACUUCAUGUACUGAAGUCUCAUUCAGGGUCCAUUAACUCCGAGUUCACUGGAGUCAGGCGUGCUGUGCUGAAUGUUCCCCUGACAACCUCUAUAAGAAAAGGAGGCCCUGAAAAAUAAUAACAAUGCAAAUAAAGAGCAUUUUCUCCAAGUUAAUAAUAACAUCAAACAUAUUGUCCUGGCUUCGCUUUUUUAAUAGUGUUUCAAAUUCCAAUGUGAAAGUGUGACACAAAAUAGGAUAUAAGUACCUAAGAGGAAUAAAAGCCAAAUGUUUACAAAGGAUGCAUUAUAUUCUAGGCACCAUUCUAGGCCCAGCUUAGGCUGCCAUAACAAAAUACGUAGACUGGGGGCUUAAGCAACGGAAGUGAAUUCUUCCCAGUUCUGGAGGCUGGAAGUUCAGGGUCAGGGUGCUGGUAAGGGCUGUUACUGGUGAGGGCUCUGCUCCUGGUUUGCCAGUACAGCCUUCUCGCUGUGUUUCCAUACAGAGGAAGGAGGGAGGUUUGGUCUUUCUGUCUCAUCUCAAAUCCCAUUAUCAUUAACUCAUCACAUCUUCUCUUUAUAAAGCCCAUCGUGGGGGUGCCUAUGCUCAUGAACUCAUCUAAUCCUUGUGGGUUUUCCUUUGGUUUUAUACCUGGUACUACAUAUGUUGCCAUUUUUAAAGUAAAAUAUUUAGAAUUGAGAAACUUUUGAAAAGAUGAGUCUGCAAGGGCAGCGUAAA
rnacentral:lncRNA from 10 species